GUGCAGCAGGGUGGGGUGGGAGAUGGGAGAACCCUGUCAUCCCCUGCCCUGCACAGAGGGGAGCCCAACAAGGCUGUGGGCUGGGAAGUUGAUUUAAGUCCACAAAUACAUGUUGAUGAAGUGCCCACUAAAUUCUAGGCACUGGUAGGUCUUCAGUAGCCCCAAAGCCCACUCAGGAUCAUGUAUGCUUUCUUCUUUGUCCCACUCCACUCAUACAAGGGGCAUUCUCUUCUCUCUCUUGUUCCUGGGCCCCUUACACCAAGGGGUAAUGUGGCCUAAUGGAAAACAUGUCCGAUUUAACAUGGACAGUCUGGAGUUCUGAUCCUGGCCGUGGCACUGACUGAUUCUGAGGCUGUGGCUUCACCUCCCUGGGGUGUGGACCUGUGGGAAGACAUAACACUCUUUUCCCAGCCCAGCUCACAUGGCAGCUGUGAGUCUCCAGCAGAGUUCAGCAAACUACGGCCUUUAGGCCCCAUCGGGCCUACCCUGCUUGUGGCCAUCCAUAAGCUAUGUGUGGAUUUACAUUUUUAAACGGCCGGAAGAAAAAUCUAAGGAAGGAUAACAUUUUUUGACUCAUGAAAAUUAUACGAAUUUCAAAUUUCAAUGUCCAUAAAGUUUUACUGGAUGCUGAAAUUUGAAAUUCGUGUAAUUUUCACAUGUCAAAAUGACACAGCCACGCCCAAUCAUUUCAGCAUCAUCUAUGACUGCUUUUGUGUUACACCAGCAAGGCUGUCAUUCCAGAGACCAGAUGCCUGCAAAACCUAAAACAUUUACUAUCUGGUCUUUAUGCAAAAUGUCUGCUGACCCCUGGUAUAGAAUAUUAAAAGACUGUACUGAAAGUUGAUUUACACAUGGAGACUGGGCCAAGGAGGGUCUGACAGGGAUUGCAAAUCCUGUCUCUCUGAACUGAUGGAUCUCAAGAGUUGCUGGUCUGAGGGAUCUACUGGAUUAUCAUCUCACAGGGAACCAGCCUGCUCUGUUGCCUGUGUUGUCGUGGCGAAUCCGAAUCUUGGUCAGGGCUCCCAGGUCAAUGGCAUAGAUGGUGAAGGUAUCUGUCUGGAAAGGGCCAGGGAACACUCAGUGGGGUAACACCCACCCUUGCCAACCUGGCCAUCAGCUCCACCCUCCCAAGGACCAGGGCAGCCAGAGGCCAACGGGGAUCUUCUCACUCUCAUUAUGUCCAGGAAGGUGGAAGGAGAGAAGAGUGAAGGCGACCUUGAGGGAGGCAGAAGAGAAGAUAGGUUGGCUGGCUGGAUGCCUACAUUUGUGGUGGGUGUUUUGUGCGUAGGCGAAGGGGUGCACUGAGAUCCUCUGCUAUGUGUCCACAUGUGUGCAUAAUCUGCUUCAAUCACAUAUUUGCAUUAAGUACCUGCUAUGAGCUGGUGCUCUGCAAAUCCAAAGUGACUGACAGAAAUUGAAGACGGAUUUGGCCACCAUUCAGGUGUGAAGAGGGCAUGUGGACCACAACGUGUGAAUGUACGCAACUGCUCUGUGCACUGGAGGAAGCAGCCCACGC